ACCAGGAGUCACUCUGACUGAUGUUCAGCAGUUUCCAAAAGUCAAAUCCACCUUCAGAUGGAAAUGAUUUCUACCACUUGGUGACAUUCAGUAUAUGAUGAGCUGGGAAAACAUUCUGAACAAUUUUCAAAGACAUCUUGAAUGUUUUACAUGCCACGGGACAGAUGUGAUUCUAUAUAAAACAAGAACAUGUCAAUAGAGCGAAACAGUAUUAACACAGUUACCUUGGAACCUGGGAAAAAGUGGAAUAGAACAGAUCCUGUUGUCAGGAAGCUGACAUCCAACAGAAGGAAUCAGUGAAUUAAUACAAAAGGAAAUUACUGAUAUAUUAAGGGACCACACAGAGUCAUGGAAUCGAACCCGAACCUUGAGGAGUAAGAUUCCAGGAAGACAUCCUACAGGCAGACAAGGGCAAUGUGAACUGUGGCUUGUUUCCAUCCAAGAAGAUACAAAGACUUAAUAAUAAAACUCUCUGGAUCUCAGUAGCAUUUCCGUGAGCAGAUGAGUGUCUAAAAGAAGAGAUUAAUCUGGGAGAGCUACCUGCACGUAUACAAAAAUACUGUUUAACAUUGAAUCAUUACCUAGAUGUCAUUCUGGUAGCAGACUUUCUAGAAUGAGAAGACAAAAAGAUCACCUCUGGAGAGACACGUUUAUCUUGAGACUAAAAGGAACAUCAAGGAAAAGGAUGCCAUGCCCAGUGCUUCAAGGAGAGUGACUUUUAUUUCUAUUACAGUAUAGGUAAUUUCUUAAUUAUUCUGGAUUUCUCUCUGAUAUAAUCAACCAACCAAAUAAUAUGCCCAUUCACUUCCUUGUUAAGUAAUGUCAUCUUCAUUUACUGGUCAUCUUAUUAGUAUUUCUUUGCUUUUAAAUAAUUUAGAUCAAAAGAAAAAUGGAAAUAAAAUCUCUGCCAAGAAAAUAGCUGAGUGAUUUUUAUAAAGUAACUGAAGAUGUAUUUGUUCAAUUCUCCUGCCAGAAAGCCCCAAAAGAAAUGAAGAAAAUGUGUCUUAAACAAGAUGGUAGGGCAGGAUCAAACAUAUCUUUAUAGCAAAUAUUGAAUCAAAAAUCCAAUAGUAUAUACUAUGUAAAAGCAAAAAA